rnacentral:snoRNA from 1 species
UGUCGAUGAUGACUAUUUCAUCAGAAGAUGCCGUGAAGAAAAAACACAUUAGUGGAAUCUCGUUAGCCUGAGACA